ACUGAUUAUGGAAAAUUUUGUCUUCGAUUCCAAGGUCCCAAGGUCUGGAAUAAAAUAAAUGAUGUGAAAAUUUAGUCCAAGGGUGCAUUUAAUUAAGCGGCAACCUUCUUCUAGUUUCAUUGAUAAAUAUUAAUGAUAUCAACUUUUCAGAUAAGCGAAUUCUUCAAUUACUGUAUGUUCUUUUCAUUAAUUUUUUGUUUUGUUUUAAACUAUUUGAUGUUGACCACACGAUGCUUGAUAUAAUUAUGAGGUUGUCUGACUCGAUUAACGUAAAUUAUUAUAUUAAAUGAACUGUACGCUGAUACUGGAAUCAAACUAGGCUAAUUUAACUUAGAAAUUACAUUAACAAAACCGUUAUAAGAGCUUUACUAAAGGUUAACCGGUUAACCGGGCCAGUCUGGCUCCAUAUGAACAACCCUUAAACCCCCCCCCCCCCAAAACUAGCAAAAAUGAAAGUACACCAAUAUACGGGGCGUUCACACUGAGCACACUUUGAUAUCGAUAUAAUUUAGAGGGAUCUCAAACACAACCAAAGCCAGUUCCUUGGACCUCUUGUGGAGUGUCCAUAUUUGCACAAAAACUUUAAUUAAUUAACUAGGUGAGUAAA